ACGCUCGACACCUACGAGAGGCAGCAGUGGGGAAUAUUGCACAAUGGAGGAAACUCUGAUGCAGCGAUGCCGCGUGAGGGAAGAAGGUUUUCGGAUUGUAAACCUCUGUCUUUGGGGACGAUAAUGACGGUACCCAAGGAGGAAGCUCCGGCUAACUACGUGCCAACAGCCGCGGUAAUCUGAGCGGGCUGGCAAGGC
rnacentral:rRNA from 1 species